GAUGUCCUUUCUCUGUUCUCUUCUGAGGGUAAGGCAGGUGGAAAAUGCUGUAGUUCCAGGCCACUCAGAAUGGUCCAUGAACUUGGAGCAGUGGCAUUACCUGAAAUGUAAUUGUUUUGUUUUCUGAAUGGAAUCUGCAGUUUAACAAGGUUCCCAGGUUAUUCAUGUCUACUUGGCCCUUGUUUUGUCAUUCCAGCUUGAAUCCACUAGAUGUCACUCUUGUAACCUGGUUACAAGAGUGGGAUAUGAUUUUUUUUUUUUUUUCCAAUCAGGACUUGUUAGAAUCCCUGGAUGUGAUCAUAUUAUUAGAUGAUUUCUAUCCUACCCUUAGGGCUACCAAAUCCCACGUUAGUUAUUUGAGGUAAAAUUACCUUUCUAUUCCAUCCAAAGUGCUGGUAGAGGUUCCUGGAAAUUAUUUUCAUUUUGUUAAAUUAGCACUCUUGCCUACUCUCUGUCCCUCCUUCAAGCCCCCUGUUGCAUGAGUUAGUGUAUCAUUAUGUAACCUCCACACAGGCGAGAGUCUGUUGAUGCUGUGACUGCCUCACUGAGAGAACUGAACCCCGGGCUUCCCAGAACAGCAACACAGAGUAAAUUUUCAGGUUUCAUCUCUGUAGAAAUUAUCAGAGAGCAGAAAGGAAGCAAGGUUGUAUCCUGAAAUUAGCAUCAACCUCCGAUUGUUGGAGGAAGUGCUGAGCUAUUGGGGAGUCUCAAGGGUAGUUUUAUAGAGAAGACUGAGUCUUCUUAGAAAAGAACCAAAUUGUCUCCAAUGCAAUAUUGGAGGGAGUAAGUUUCAGCCAUGCAGAUAAAUUUAAGGAUAUUUACCAGUAAAUUAAUAUCCCAAGGGAGAUGAUUUAUUUCCAGAGAGGGAGGAGGCCCCCUGGAAAGGGCCUGUUAACAACUGGUUAGGUCUGCAUAUUAGGAAAGCGAGAUGAAAAGGUUAAAGACUGUGCUUUAGAAGAUCUUAUUUUUUGCUGGAUGCCCAGCUUGAGAAAAGUUAGGUCUUGAAAUAAAUCAGCCUUUUGCACAACUCUCUUCCCUUUGAGUCUGAUGUGCUUUCUCAUUGUUUCAGUUAACAAGGGUAGAAAACAAGUCAUAAAGUAGCAGGUGUGUGUGUGUGUGUGUGUGUGUGUGAGAGAGAGAGAGAGAGAGAGCAUUUGUGCUUUUGUAUGAGGUUGGUGAGC